rnacentral:tRNA from 3 species
CGGUAGCUCAGUUGGAUAGAGUGUCUGGCUACGAACCAGAAGGUCGGGGGUUCGAGUCCCUUCCG